GUGACAGCCAUGGAGAUGGCAUCCCAUUAGUUAUAGAACAGGUACAGCAGGGAGUAACAGUGAAAGCUUUCGCACCUUUUCAUGGCAAUGGUUCUCACACUUGCGAUGGAGGGACCAUCUCUAUAGUGAGAUGGUAGUAUAGUUCCUAAAUUUAUUCAGUCCUUGGUCUUG
rnacentral:sRNA from 1 species